rnacentral:rRNA from 1 species
AGCAGUAGCCACGGUAAUACGGAGGGGGCUAGCGUUGUUCGGAAUUACUGGGCGUAAAGCGCACGUAGGCGGCUUGGUAAGUUAGAGGUGAAAGCCUGGAGCUCAACUCCAGAAUUGCCUUUAAGACUGCCGAGCUAGCAGGUGAGAGAGGUAAGUGGAAUUCCGAGUGUAGAGGUGAAAUUCGUAGAUAUUCGGAAGAACACCAGUGGCGAAGGCGGCUUACUGGCUCAUACUGGACGCUGAGGUGCGAAAGCGUGGGGAGCAAACAGGAUUAGAUACCCCUGUAGUCCCUGUCUCUUAUAC